rnacentral:misc_RNA from 1 species
CGCUCUCUCUCUCUUACCCACACCCACACCGACACCUCCUUUUCUUCUGCCUUGCAUACGGCGCGCCGCACCGCUGCAUCCCGCAUCCCUGGACGCACACAUUUUCAAAGAGACGCGUGAGCAACGCCCCACACUCAGACCACUGCCGGUGCUUCUUGGCUUUCGUGCGCCCCUCUCCGCUCAGGCUUCCAUGUCGGAGGAGCUUAUCCUGCAGUGGGCGAAGCGCGUCUCGGACGCUGAGGAGGAGCUUCAUCGAAUGGAAGAGGACAUCAACGCCGUCAAGCAGAAGCGCAAGUUGCUCAAGACAGACAUUCGCAAGUACGAAGACGUCGUGGCGAGCGAGAAGUGCGACCUUCUUACCUCGCUAGAGAGGGUGGAGGCGCAGGCGAAGGAUUUGGGUGCGCAGUGCGAGGCGACGCUAACAGAGAAGGACCGUGUGGAGGCGGAGUACAUGGCCACUCUGGACGCCUACGAGAACCUACACUUCCUUGUGCGCGAAAUCAAGGAUGCCGAGGAGCAUCUGCAAAGCCGCGACGACCUCGAGGCUUGUCUGCAGCGCGAGAGCGUCACGUGGGCGGAGGAAGAGCACGCACUGCGCCGUAAGCUUCACCAGCUUCAGCAGCAGCAAGCGCAGGCUCGCCGCGCGCAAGAAGCUGAGGUGCGCGAGCUAGAGGCCCAGCUUUCGAACGUCGAGCAACGCCAGCGCGACGAAAGGGCGGGGCGGUGCGUAGAGGUGGCUCAAGCGGCCCGCCGCGUGGUGCACAGCAGUCGUCAGCCGACGCCCGCGUCCCCCAAGCCCGUCACGUCAGCCGAGGAAGACGCCUUCGUGAGCGCCAACGCGGGCGGUGCCUUGCCCAUCAGAUCUGCGCCGCUCAAGUCGUGCUUGAAGACUCCCGUCAGCGGCAGCACAGGCAGCAACGCAGCAACUACGGCCCCCCGCCCCACCACCGCCGCCUCAGCGCCGGUAAGCCGCUGCGCCUCGCAGUCGUUAGUGUCCGACGCUGCCGCGAGCGGUGUACAGCGACAAGGAGUUGAUGGAGGUGAUCAGCCGUCGCUGCGGUUGCUGCAGGAGAUGCGUGCCUACUCGUACGGGGCACCAUGCAAGGCCGGCGCUCGCAAGCGCGAGUUCCUGGGAGACGCCACCAACAACCAGUGAUGGACCCUCUUGUUGCGGGGUUACCCCUCUAACAGAGACCGCGGAGAGGAGGGGAGCGUGAGGGGGGUGGCGUGGCGCAUCGCCCGGGUGAUGCGCACUCGCCGGAGCGCACGAGAGCGUAGGCGACACCUCGCUGCUGGAGCGCCACGUGCACAAGGCGCAAUGCGCGGCCACCGUGAUCGCCCUCCUCCCAGCCCCUCCCAGCCCCUCCCAGCCCCUCCCAGCCCCUCCCCCUCCCCUCCCCCUCCCCUCCCAGCCCCGUGGAGGCCUCUCGCAUGCCAUUCCUUUUGGCCGCCUCGAGUGCGCCUGCGCGGAGGCCUUCCCCGCCACUAUGCGGCCUACUUAGAUUGAUAGAUAGACACUCGUUCUGCAGUGGCGUUGCCCUCGCGCACGACGGAGGCGUCAUGCGUUCCUGCGAGUGUGCGCGCGUGCGUUGCCGCCGCCUUCCUUCAUCUUCCCCCGGGCGCACGUACGCAUGACAGCGACGCCUGCUCGUCUGAGCGAGGUGUGCAACAGCGGAGGUUGUGCAAGGCAAUACUUCAGCUCAGAGAAACGAAAUUUAGGCAGCGUGGUGCCGGCACACGCAGACAGAGGGUGCACCGAUGUGACCUCUGCAUGCGAGCGCAGUGGCUCUGUCGGCUUUGCAGGACUCUUGCUGAACAAGAAGCCUGCCACUGUGCGUGCAAGCAUGCGCAUAUGUGUAUGUGACGGCGCCCCUGCCGACGUACUGGUUCUCCCCUGCUGCGCAUCCGCCCUGACGGUUGUGGGCGAUCUCUGCUUGCACUGCACGUGCACGCUUGCAGAACGGCGUCUUCAUGCAAUGCCGUUACUCAUCACUGCUUCGGUGCGGCCUCGCCGUCCGCAUUUCAUCGCGCGCCGUGCCUGCGUGAGCCGCUCAGCGCAGUCGUCGCACCUCCCCGCUACCAUCGCCUCGCCUAUGCCUCCCUCUACUCUCCUUUGCUGACUACCUCGCUCUCUUCUGCGUCUACGCGCGGUGCGGCUCGUCGAUUUCGCCGCUGCUGGACUGCCUUUCGCCUCCUCCCCGCUCCUCUCUUUUUCGGUGUGGUAG